CCUACGGGAGGCAGCAGUGGGGGAUAUUGCACAAUGGGGGGAACCCUGAUGCAGCGACGCCGCGUGGGCGAUGGAGUGCUUCGGCAUGUAAAGCCCUAUCUGCAGGGAAGAAAAUGACGGUACCUGACUAAGAAGCCCCGGCUAAAUACGUGCCAGCAGCCGCGGUAAUACGUAUGGGGCAAGCGUUAUCCGGAUUUACUGGGUGUAAAGGGAGCGUAGGCGGCCUGGCAAGCCUGAUGUGAAAUACCGGGGCCCAACCCCGGGGCUGCAUUGGGAACUGCCAGGCUGGAGUGCGGUAGAGGCAGGCGGAAUUCCUAGUGUAGCGGUGAAAUGCGUAGAUAUUAGGAGGAACACCAGUGGCGAAGGCGGCCUGCUGGACGGUGACUGACGCUGAGGCUCGAAAGCGUGGGGAGCAAACAGGAUUAGAUACCCGGGUAGUC
rnacentral:rRNA from 1 species